rnacentral:rRNA from 1 species
AUGUUCAUGCAGACACGAAUUGGACUGAGAAAUGCUAACAGAGGAGGAGAAGACCAUGCAAGUCCUUGGGGUUGGGUGCGGCAACUCGCGGCUCGAAGACAAUCUUUUGUGGUGGGGCGUCGCUGCCGGCGGCGGCACCUGCACAGACCGUCUCGCUGGGAACGAAGAGAUGCUCCCCUGAUUUGGAGCUGUAGAAAGGAGGUGGUUGCAGACGCAAAGUGGGGACACACAACUCCCAGUCAUAAUAUUCUUUAUCUUGGCUCGUUGUUUGGGGAUGGACGCAUCAAUCUGAUCGCGCUCUCCUCCAUGCCAAACGGAUCCUUGGUUCGGAGGUGCGCGGCGCCGACGAUGACAACCUUUCUAUCGACGCAAGGGCAGCAGGAGCUCAUGACGCUGUUGAUGCCACCACCAUGCACAGGGUUGAUGCAAGGUGGGACAAGUAUGUGUACCAGUGCGAUCACUAAUGGGGAGAACAUAAAACUUCAAUUGAGGGCAUUGUGA